GACGAACGCUGGCGGCGUGCUUAACACAUGCCAGUCGAGCGGUAAGGCCCCUUCGGGGGUACACGAGCGGCGAACGGGUGAGUAACACGUGAGCAAUCUGCCCAUCACAUCGGGAUAACUCCGGGAAACCGAAGCUAAUACCGAAUACGACCACCUCCGGCAUCGGAUGGUGGUGGAAAGUUCCGGCGGUGAUGGAUGAGCUCGCGGCCUAUCAGCUUGUUGGUGGGGUAACGGCCCACCAAGGCUUCGACGGGUAGCCGGCCUGAGAGGGUGACCGGCCACACUGGGACUGAGACACGGCCCAGACUCCUACGGGAGGCAGCAGUGGGGAAUAUUGGACAAUGGGCGAAAGCCUGAUCCAGCAACGCCGCGUGAGGGAUGACGGCCUUCGGGUUGUAAACCUCUUUCAGCAGGGACGAAGCGCAAGUGACGGUACCUGCAGAAGAAGCACCGGCCAACUACGUG
rnacentral:rRNA from 1 species